rnacentral:lncRNA from 1 species
CGGCGAAGUAUGCAGAGAAGCCAGCGAAAUGGGGGAACCAGAAGGUUGCUCCACGAAACAUUCACCAGCCUCGUUGAAGUGCAAAGUUAACUAGGCAGAGUAUGUUGUAUCUUUAGCCACCUGUACCUUUGUAAUUUUUAGUAUUUUCUGCUUUCCACAAGUGAGAACCUGUAACUUCUUUGUACCUUUAUGAUGUUCAGUCUCAAACUUGUUAUCUCAAAAAAAAAAUGUAAAAACAUAAAAAAAUUGUAAAAUUUGAAGAGUAAUGAGAAAUAGAGU